rfam:Schistosoma mattheei strain Denwood, Zambia genome assembly, scaffold: SMTD_scaffold0003099
AUCCAGCUGAAGAGUUCCAAAUAGGACGAGACGCCUGCUCUGGAU